rnacentral:rRNA from 1 species
UAGAGUUUGAUCCUGGCUCAGGAUGAACGCUAGCGACAGGCUUAACACAUGCAAGUCGAGGGGCAGCGGGGAGGUAGCAAUACUUCCGCCGGCGACCGGCGCACGGGUGAGUAACACGUAUGGAACCUGCCCGUAGCAGGGGGAUAAGCGGAAGAAAUUCCGUCUAAUACCGCGUAAUAACUCCGAGAGGCAUCUCCUGGGGUUUAAAGGGUAACACCGGCUACGGAUGGCCAUGCGGCGCAUUAGCUAGUUGGCGGGGUAACGGCCCACCAAGGCGACGAUGCGUAGGGGUUCUGAGAGGAAGGUCCCCCACACUGGUACUGAGACACGGACCAGACUCCUACGGGAGGCAGCAGUGAGGAAUAUUGGUCAAUGGGCGCGAGCCUGAACCAGCCAAGUCGCGUGAGGGAAGACGGUCCUAUGGAUUGUAAACCUCUUUUGUCGGGGAGCAAAAGACGCCACGCGUGGCGUUCCGAGAGUACCCGAAGAAAAAGCAUCGGCUAACUCCGUGCCAGCAGCCGCGGUAAUACGGAGGAUGCGAGCGUUAUCCGGAUUUAUUGGGUUUAAAGGGUGCGCAGGCGGAAGAUCAAGUCAGCGGUAAAAUUGAGAGGCUCAACCUCUUCGAGCCGUUGAAACUGGUUUUCUUGAGUGAGCGAGAAGUAUGCGGAAUGCGUGGUGUAGCGGUGAAAUGCAUAGAUAUCACGCAGAACUCCGAUUGCGAAGGCAGCAUACCGGCGCUCAACUGACGCUCAUGCACGAAAGUGUGGGUAUCGAACAGGAUUAGAUACCCUGGU